AAUUUUGGACAAUGGGGGAAACCCUGAUCCAGCCAUCCCGCGUGUAUGAUGAAGGCCUUCGGGUUGUAAAGUACUAUUGGCAGAGAAGAAAAGGUAUCUCCUACUACGAGAUACUGCUGACGGUAUCUGCAGAAUAAGCACCGGAUAACUACGUGCCAGCAGCCGCGGUAAUACGUAGGUUGCAAGAGUUAAUCGGAAUUACUAGGCGUAAAGUGUGUGUAGGAGGUACGAAAAGAAAGAUGUGAAAUCCCAGGGCUCAACCUUGGAACUUCAUUUUUAACUGCCGAGCUAGAGUAUGUCAGAGUGUGGGUAGAAUUCCACGUGUAGCAGUGUAAUGCGUAGAUAUGUGGAUGAAUACCGAUGGCGAAGGCAGCCCCCUUGGAUAAUACUGACGCUCAGACACGAAAGCGUGGGGAGCAAACA
rnacentral:rRNA from 1 species